rnacentral:rRNA from 1 species
AAGGGAGGCAUGAGCUUUAAAUUCGAUGAUAUGCGAGGAACCUUUACUCAAAGCUCGGAACGGUGCAGCGAAUUGACGGAGAGGAUUUGUCAGCUCAGCCAAUGAGUCUGCAUCGAAGGUGCAGCAUGGGUUGUCGUCAGCUCGUACCGUGAGGUGUCGGGGUUGAGUGCCAUAACGAGCGCAACCCUUGUCGUCAGUUGCCAUCAGGUAGAGCUGGGCACUCUGGCGAGACUGCCACCGUAAGGUGCGAGGAAGGUGGGGAUGACGUCAAAUCAGCACGGCCCUUACGUCUGGGGCGACACACGUGUUACAAUGGCAGGUACAGAGGGUAGCCAGGCGGCGACGCCGCGCCAAUCCGUAAAAACCUGUCUCAGUUCGGACUGGAGUCUGCAACUCGACUCCACGAAGCUGGAUUCGCUAGUAAUCGCGCAUCAGCCAUGGCGCGGUGAAUACGUUCCCGGGCCUUGUACACACCGCCCGUCAAGCCAUGGAAGCCGGGGGUGCCUGAAGUCCGUGACCGGAAGGAGCGGCCUAAGGCAAAACUGGUGACUGGGGCUAAGUCGUAACAAGGUAGCCG